CCGGCAAAAAAAAUCGUGACCCCGGCACCCCGCACUCGGCAGCCCAAAACGCUAUGGCCCAACGAGUAUUUACUCCUCUCCUUUUGUCAAUACUCAAUAGUCAUCAACGAAAAUACGAAACGCAUGCAGUCCAACCUGUACUAGCAUACCACGUCCACACCAGAAGCCCAUAUUUGUACGUCCUGCCUGUUGGACGUCAGGGGUGGAGGCUAGCAAGUAGCAAGUAGCAGCAGCCCAAAAGGCCAAAAGUAUUUUGUCUCUUGAUCUAGGGUUCAGGCGGCUAGCAGAACAACAAUCUGACGAUUGCUCUCCCGGCGGCGUUCUUUGCUAGUUUGCUUCGUCAAAACUGUGCUGUGCGUCUCCCCGAUGCGGCGCGUCCCUACUGCCUACUCCCUUCCACUCCAUAGUUCCACUCUUCCCUUCCACUCUUCCAGGCUUCCUCGGUCAAUCGUUCUCUCAAGUGAUCAAGUCUCAACCUCGGAUUUUCUCGCGGUGUUCGCCUGUUCGGCAUCAAAUUCCAAGGCUGCUGGUCUGGAUAAGCUGAUGAGUUACAUAUAACCAGAGGCAAGCACCAAGCAGUUAGUCUCCACAUUUUUUGCUCGUGACUUUGGUUCAAGCAGAGAGGUUGCCGUUGCUCUUAUUCAAGGAAAUGUCAAGCAACCAAAGCAAGUUGGAACGAUUCUUGAAAAGGAAAAUACCCCCAGCCAAUGAUAAUGACAAUCCAGAAGGAUGCACUUCAAGAAGGGAUGACAAUACAUCAAAUAUCAAUCGUCCUAUUCAUUGUUCUUCACGAGUCCCACGACAUGAGGUAAAUUUUGAUGAACUUCCAUAUGAUCCAGCUAACAGAAGGAGAAUAUCAGAUUAUAUAGGCCCUGAUCUACAAGAUGACAUAAGGCGAAAGUAUUUGACUAGAGGUCCUUGUAGACCGCCACCUGGUUUUAAGUUUCCACAAACGAUCAUAGCAGGUCAUCCCCGUCGGUGUCAAGCUGAAUGGUUCACUACAUAUGGCUGGUUAGAGUAUAGUGAGAAGGUGGAUAAGUGUUUUUGUUUACAAUGUUACUUGUUCAGAGAUUUCAACAAAGGCCAAGGUGGGAAUGAUGCAUUUGUAAUAAAUGGUUGGGAUGGCUGGAACAAAUCUGAUAGGCUUCGAGAUCAUGUCGGCAACAAAUGCAAUAGUUUUCAUAACACGGCUGUGAAGAGAUGUGACAAUCUUUUGAAGCCUGGACAAUCUAUUGGAAAUGUUUUUAACAAACAGACCACUGUCAGUAAAGAGGAACAUCUGAUUAGAUUAAAGACUUCCAUCAAAGCUGUUCGUUACUUGUUGCAUCAAGGUUUGGCUUUUCGUGGCCAUGAUGAAUUAGAGGAGUCUAAAAAUAGGGGAAAUUUUAAAGAGUUAGUAAAGCUUUUGGCAGAGGAAAAUGACAAAGUAUGGAUUCAGCUUUAUGUCUCAAAUCUAACAUUGAUAAGUUGUUUGUUAAGUAUGGAUUAAGCAUAAAACAAGUCAGAGGACAGGGCUAUGAUGGGGCUAGCAAUAUGAGAGGUGAGUUCAAUGGAUUAAGGGCUUUAAUCUUAAGAGAGAACAGCUCAGCAUAUUAUAUACAUUGCUUUGCUCAUCAGUUACAGUUAGUCAUUGUUGCUGUAGCUAAAAAGAAUGAUGACUGUAGUGAUUUCUUUGACAUGAUAUCCCUAUUGCUUACUGUGGCUGGAUCUUCUUGCAAGCGUAAAGUUAUGAUCCGAGAAAAUCAACAAGAGAGAGUUAGCAAAUCCAUAGGAAGUGGAAAACUAAGCAGUGGAACUGGAUUAAAUCAAGAGCAAUCCCUCCAAAGAGCUGGAGAUACACGUUGGGGUUCACAUUAUAAAACUCUCAAGAGCCUAAGUCGUGAGCUUAACUUUUUCAUUGAUAAUGUGCGAGCUGAUGAAAGAUUUUCUAGCUUGAUCUCUAUUUCUGCACUUGCAAGGCUGAUGGUGGAUACAACAAAACAUACGAGUUUUCCUUUGGUCUAUCGACUUCUCAAGCUAGUACUGGUUCUUCCAAUCGCCACUGCAUCGGUUGAGAGGUGCUUUUCAGCGAUGAAAAUUGUGAAGACAAUGUUAAGAAAUCGUAUUGGAGAUGGAUUUAUGAAUGAUUGUAUAAUAUGCUUCGUGGAACCAGGAUUUCUAGCCACAAUUCCAACUGAUGAUGUGAUAGUUCGCUUUCAUAAGAUAGAGGACCGUACCCGUAGAGGAAAAAUAUAGAAGGUAUGUAAAUACUAUUGCAAAAGCUUAUUUGUCACAAUAUGUUGCUUUUCUUUUUUAAACUAUCGAUGUUAUGCAUGACA